AAAAAAGUCGAAAUUUCCGAUGUGAAAUAUCUUUUUUUUUGCACCAACGACAACGACGACGACUACUGCGGCAGCGGUGGCGGUGGCGACCAUCUCGUCAUCAUAAGGACAUAAUAUAUUAGCAGCGUAUGCGCCGAUUAUUUUUAUGCAAAUUGUGAACGUGCGUGUGUACGUAGCGAAGGGGAAAUCUAUGCGAUGGAUGCGAGCGGUUCUUUUGAAAGUGACUCGAAAAGGUGGGGCCGAAUAGAUCAACGAUCGUCAGUGCUUUCGCGUUUUUACUGUCGUGUGGACUGUUUCGAGCGCUCAGAUAGUUCGAAUUUUGUAGCAAAUUCCCGUUUAAUUUUUUCCUUUGUUUGAGAGCAAAUAAGCAAAAACAAAAAAACUACAUCAACAUGGACGCCAUCAAGAAGAAGAUGCAAGCUAUGAAGCUUGAAAAAGACAAUGCCCAAGACAAGGCCGAUACCUGUGAAGGACAGGCUAAAGAUGCCAACAUGCGUGCCGACAAAGUUCUUGAGGAAGUACGCGAUUGCGAAAAGAAAUUGGCUCAAGUUGAAAUCGAUUUCGCCAACUCAAAGAACCAAUUGGAAUUGGCCAACCAAGAAUUAGAGGAAAAAGAAAAGACCCUCACCGCUACCGAAUCCGAAGUCGCCACUUUGAAUCGUAAGGUUCAACAAAUUGAAGAGGAUUUGGAAAAAUCCGAAGAACGCUCAGGCACCGCACAAGCUAAAUUGUUGGAAGCCACCCAAUCGGCUGAUGAAAACAACCGUAUGUGCAAAGUACUUGAAAACCGUUCUCAACAAGAUGAAGAGCGUAUGGAUCAAUUGACCAACCAAUUGAAAGAAGCUCGUCUCCUUGCUGAAGAUGCUGACGGUAAAUCCGAUGAAGUGUCACGCAAAUUGGCCUUCGUUGAAGAUGAAUUGGAAGUCGCUGAAGAUCGUGUCAAAUCUGGCGAAGCCAAAAUCAUGGAACUCGAAGAAGAAUUGAAGGUCGUCGGAAACUCGCUCAAAUCAUUGGAAGUGUCGGAAGAGAAGGCCAACCAACGAGUAGAAGAAUUCAAACGUGAAAUGAAAACUCUUACUGUGCGUCUCAAGGAAGCCGAAAACCGUGCUGAAAGCGCUGAGAAGCAAGUCAAGAGACUUCAAAAGGAAGUCGACAGACUGGAAGGUAUGUUCGCCCCGAAAAUUCUCCUUAAUUUAUCAAUUAUUCUAUUUAAUCAAAUUCAAAGUAAUUUUGUACAGAAAAGUGUUAAACCAAUUUUGAACAAGUUAUUUUUUUUUGGGGUUUUGAUAAAUAUUUUAACUUGAUCGCUAAGUUUUUAAAUCAAAUUUUGCCUUUUUGAUUCCUAUUAGCAGUGUUCAAAAUGCGUAAAACUUGAGCGAGGAAAAAAACAAGUUGCAAUUUUAAACGCUGCUGCUUGAUUUAUUAAACUUGUACAGACAAAUGAUAAUGAUGCUUUAAUCAAUUGCCUCGGCAUAUUUACAGAUCGUCUGUUCCACGAAAAAGAAAAAUACAAAGCAAUUUGCGACGAUUUGGAUUCAACAUUUGCUGAGCUUACUGGAUAUUAAUUUGUUCAGAGCUUGUUAUUUUUUUUUCUCUCUCUCUCUCUCCCUCUUUCUAUCAAAAUUUGGUCUAUCUUCUCCUGAUCUAUUCCUUUUUCGUUUUGAGUGACCACAAUGAAUCAUCCAUUCGGUGGCCCAAUUCAAUUAGAACGACUUUGUGGCCCAGUCCUUUGUAAAAUGUCCAUCAAUCCAAAUUUCCCUGUUGAACCCCACUGUCGUUCUUUCAGUUUUGCCCCAAUCCCACUUGUGCUUCUUUUGCCUCCCAAUCGAAAAUGGAUACAUUAGAUCUUUCAUCGUGAACAGACAUUUUUGUAUUAUGACCCUCUGUUUUUCUUGAAAAAAAAAAAUUAACAUCUUAAUCUUACUGCUAACCCACAAUGACACCAACUUUCAAACAAUCAAACGAUGUAUUAUAUAGUUGCAAUAAGUGAUGAAUUCAAAAAAAAAAAACAAUGUAUAAAGAGACACAACGUACAAGAUAUUGCUAGUCAACUGCUGCUAAAACCAAAACAAAAACAAAUAACAAACAAACGCUUGAGCCUUUUGAAAGAAUUGUAAAUUGUUUCGGAGCCUCUGCAGCUGCUCAUAAAUAACCACCAAAAUGCAAACAAGAAAACCAAAUUCGAUCUAGCAAAGACGAAUUGGGCAUCAACAAGGACCGAUACAAAAGUCUUGCCGACGAAAUGGACUCCACAUUCGCCGAAUUGGCCGGUUACUAAGCAAAUACACAACACCUUCACCGAUUUGCUGCCAUUUGAUUUUCAUUUACCAUCCAAUCGAAUGGCCCAACUCCUCUCGAUGACCCUGCCGUUUUCGAUGACUACAAGUUUCUUGACAUGAAUUCCUUCAUUCCAUUUUCCAUCCAGCGAAUGAACAAAACAUAAACAUCCAAAUAUAAAAACACGUCAUCGUUUUUACAUUCACAAACACACUCACUUUUAAACUUGUCACACAUUUUAAACAAAAAAAAAAAACAAUUAUAUACUUCAACGAACAUUUUUUUUUGUAUUUGCUUUGUAAUUUAUUGUAAAAUUUUUAACCGGAUUUUCAAUUAUAUACGCAUGUAUUUUCAAAAACAAACAUCAUGUGAAUACUAUGUUGUUAAUAAUGUGUUUGUGUGCUUUAUUCAAAUAAAAAAAAUGCCAAAAAAAAACAAAAA